rnacentral:rRNA from 1 species
UACCAGCACCCCGAGUGGUCGGGACGAUUAUUGGGCCUAAAGCAUCCGUAGCCGGUCCUGCAAGUCUUCCGUUAAAUCCAGCUGCUCAACAGAUGGCUGCGGGAGAUACUACAAGGCUAGGAGGCGGAGAGGCAAGCGGUACUCAGUGGGUAGGGGUAAAAUCCUCUGAUCCAUUGAAGACCACCAGUGGCGAAGGCGGCUUGCCAAUACGCGCUCGACGGUGAGGGAUGAAAGCUGGGGAGCAACCGG